CUGACUGAAAAUUACUGUCCAAAGAUUAAACCCAUCAUUCGAAUCACAAACGCAUGACAACUGCAACUCUAGCCUAGCAAAAACGAUCUGCCCAGGUAUCCCUAAUAUUGUGGACAUUGAACAUGAAGUUGAGAUGGAACAGGAUCUGGAACCCUUAAUAUCUGCUAACUGGAAACUUGGAAGGAGGGUUAUGGAACUGGGGGUGAUAUGACAGAUGCUCUAAAAUGUCCAUGCCAUUUCAGCAGCUCUUUCAUGCUGUGGAUAUCCUAACUUAUGGAUCAUCAGCUAUCAUUAAGAGAGCGGGAACAUCAUGAUC